rnacentral:rRNA from 1 species
ACGAAGCGUGAGUGACGGUAAUGGGUAAAGAAGCACCGGCUAACUACGUGCCAGCAGCCGCGGUGAUACGUAGGGUGCGAGCGUUGUCCGGAUUUAUUGGGCGUAAAGGGCUCGUAGGUGGUUGAUCGCGUCGGAAGUGUAAUCUUGGGGCUUAACCCUGAGCGUGCUUUCGAUACGGGUUGACUUGAGGAAGGUAGGGGAGAAUGGAAUUCCUGGUGGAGCGGUGGAAUGCGCAGAUAUCAGGAGGAACACCAGUGGCGAAGGCGGUUCUCUGGGCCUUUCCUGACGCUGAGGAGCGAAAGCGUGGGGAGCGAACAGGCUUAGAUACCCUGGUAGUCCACGCUGUAAACGGUGGGUACUAGGUGUGGGGUCCAUUCCACGGGUUCCGUGCCGUAGCUAACGCUUUAAGUACCCCGCCUGGGGAGUACGGCCGCAAGGCUAAAACUCAAAG